ensembl:lncRNA
AGCUCUCGCUCCUUUGCUUUUCUGAAGACAAAGGAAUUCUCCGGUUGGAAUAUUAUUGAAGGUUUAUGUUUAAAACAUCCUAAAGAUUGAUUCCAUACAUCGUUUGACAUGUUUCUACGGACAGUAACGGAACUCUUUGACAUUUCGUCCGCAACUAGGGAACGCGCUUCAUGACUUUGGAUUUGUUAACCAAACGUGCUAACUAAAGUAGCUCUUUGGACAUAAAUGAUGGACAUUAUCGAACAAAUCAAACAUUUAAUGUGGAACUGGGAUUCCUGGGAGUGCAUUCUGAUGAAGAUCAUCAAAGUACCUAUGCUGAACACAUACUGUGUUGGAAUUCUGUACAGAGUGGAAAGGCAAAGACAUCAUGGAGGACGAGGACGCUUGUUUACAGAUGUACAAGAGACUGCAAUUAUAAAUAUGGUUUUGGCCAACAAUGCAAUUAGGAUUCAAGAGAUAAGAGAGCAUAUCUUGAAUAAUGACACCAUAUUUAACAACAUCAAUGCUGUAAGCCUGUCGACCAUACAACGCAUCCUCCAACGGCACCGAGUGACGAUGAAACAACUUUACAAGGUGCCAUUUGAGAGAAACUCUGACAGAGUCAAGAAUAUGCGACAUGACUUUGUAGAGAGAGUAUUGGAGCUGGGUGCCCAUGUAAUUCGC